rnacentral:rRNA from 1 species
GAUGAACGCUGGCGGCGUGCCUAAUACAUGCAAGUCGAGCGAACGGACGAGAAGCUUGCUUCUCUGAUGUUAGCGGCGGACGGGUGAGUAACACGUGGAUAACCUACCUAUAAGACUGGGAUAACUUCGGGAAACCGGAGCUAAUACCGGAUAAUAUUUUGAACCGCAUGGUUCAAAAGUGAAAGACGGUCUUGCUGUCACUUAUAGCUGGAUCUGAGCUGCAUUAGCUAGUUGGUAAGGUACCGGCUUAUCAAGGCAACGAUGCAUAGCCGACCUGAGAGAGUGAUCGGCCACACUGGAACUGAGACACGGUCCAGACUCCUGCGGGAGGCAGCAGUAGGGAAUCUGCCGCAAUGGGCGAAAGCCUGACGGAGCAACGCCGCGUGAGUGAUGAAGGUCUUCGGAUCGUAAAGCUCUGUUAUUAGGGAAGAACAUAUGUGUAAGUAACUGUGCACAGCUUGACGGUACCGAAUCAGAAAGCCACGGCUAACUACGUG